rnacentral:tRNA from 1 species
GAGGGUGUAGCUCAGUGGUAGAGUGCCUGCUUAGCAUGCACAAGGUCCUGGAUUCAGUCUCCAGUACCUCUG